rnacentral:rRNA from 1 species
AUUGAACGCUGGCGGCAUGCCUUACACAUGCAAGUCGAACGGCAGCACGGGUGCUUGCACCUGGUGGCGAGUGGCGAACGGGUGAGUAAUACAUCGGAACAUGUCCUGUAGUGGGGGAUAGCCCGGCGAAAGCCGGAUUAAUACCGCAUACGAUCUACGGAUGAAAGCGGGGGACCUUCGGGCCUCGCGCUAUAGGGUUGGCCGAUAGCUGAUUAGCUAGUUGGUGGGGUAAAGGCCUACCAAGGCGACGAUCAGUAGCUGGUCUGAGAGGACGACCAGCCACACUGGGACUGAGACACGGCCCAGACUCCUACGGGAGGCAGCAGUGGGGAAUUUUGGACAAUGGGCGAAAGCCUGAUCCAGCAAUGCCGCGUGUGUGAAGAAGGCCUUCGGGUUGUAAAGCACUUUUGUCCGGAAAGAAAUCCUUGGCUCUAAUACAGUCGGGGGAUGACGGUACCGGAAGAAUAGGCACCGGCUAACUACGUG